rnacentral:pre_miRNA from 1 species
CUGAAGCUCCUUCUGAAAGAGCAGUUGGUGUUUGUUUUUUACUAAAUAGCAAUUGCUCUUUUGGAAGGAACUUGAG